rnacentral:tRNA from 1 species
UUACCCUAGAGUGCAAAUCUGCAGACAAAACCUAAAGGUGUUCCAGGGCU